GACGAACGCUGGCGGCGUGCUUAACACAUGCAAGUCGAACGGAAAGGCCCUGCUUUUGUGGGGUGCUCGAGUGGCGAACGGGUGAGUAACACGUGAGUAACCUGCCCUUGACUUUGGGAUAACUUCAGGAAACUGGGGCUAAUACCGGAUAGGAGCUCCUGCUGCAUGGUGGGGGUUGGAAAGUUUCGGCGGUUGGGGAUGGACUCGCGGCUUAUCAGCUUGUUGGUGGGGUAGUGGCUUACCAAGGCUUUGACGGGUAGCCGGCCUGAGAGGGUGACCGGCCACAUGGGGACUGAGAGACGGCCCAGACUCCUACGGGAGGCAGCAGUGGGGAAUAUUGCACAAUGGGCGGAAGCCUGAUGCAGCAACGCCGCGUGCGGGAUGACGGCCUGCGGGUUGUAAACCGCUUUCGCCUGUGACGAAGCGUGAGUGACGGUAAUGGGUAAAGAAGCACCGGCUAACUACGUG
rnacentral:rRNA from 1 species